ACCACCUGUGUUAUCACAAAGCUUAUAAAGGAUGCUGUGCCAACUUUCGCCUGGACUUCAGAGAGGCCAAAGAGGAGAAUCAUCAUUCGCAGACCGAGAGAUGAUGACCCAUUCCUGAAGUUGGACGCCAGAAUGCAGGAAGGUGCUGUUUAAGAGCCUAGGCGGUGGAAGAAGCACUUGCAGGUAUGCUACCGACCAGGCUCCUCAACAUCAAUCCGAGACGGAAGAUGAAACGGGAUGAAGCAGUUAGAUUGAGACAAGGAGGCCGGAAACUUUGAUGACCUCAAUGACACUGGCUAGGUGAAGGACAUCAAGAAAAUGGCAUCAGGUCACCAGACAUCAGCUCAUAAUCCACAACGUUAUCAACCAUUUUGCGCCAAAAAUGAAGCCGUUCACAUACCAUGGCAUCCUAAGCAGGCAGCACUACACUACUGUGCAACAGUGAGAGAGAGUGGGCAAGGACAAGUAAAGCGGACCUACACUACAGCAAGACUUUGAC